ensembl:lncRNA
GUUUUGGGUCUCUGGUAACAGUGAGAGCUUCCAGCAGACCGUGGGAGCAUUAAAAGCAGAAAGAUUCAGGAGCACCGGAGACCCUCCCCCUCAUAAAGCCCGCUGUCAUAAACGCUUCUUGUCAUCGGGUGUUGUGUGGUGGUCCUGAGACGGUUGCCAGGCAACCUGCGCUGCAUUGAUAUGUGAGUUGGAAGGAAUCAGGGAAAGCCUUCUGCCUCCGGAGCAUCAGUGUUGGGCGGUGCGACUCCCACCAAACACGAGCGCGCUCGUCUGUCUGAGAACACACGCUCAAGGCUUCGCAUCUCAAAAGAUUACUUUUGCACUCCAAGGCACUUAACGUCCUAGUUUUGAUCAUCUCUUUAACCUCAGAGAAGCAGAACGAGGAUUGAACACCUGAAGUUUAGGACUGUGAAUCCAAGAAAAGAGCUUAUGGAGUUUGUUAACGUGGCUUUGGCUAAUUAAAAAGAGGUACUGGCAGUAACUGAACCUCCCCUCUCUCAUCUGUUCAUCCACGAAAGAACAAAGAGAGAGAGGGUUUCUCAUGAGGAGCUCAUGACAGCUCAACUCAGGAACAAGUGAGAUGAAACUGGGCAGGAAAACACUGGAGCGCCGCGAGAAACGACACACAUCAGACGCCUGGAAAGCACAGCCUCUCUCAGUCAAUCUGGAACUCCCUCCCAGCUAAAGGAUGAUGGGAUACGACUUCACUCUGAGCUGCCAGGGAUGUUCGUGUGUUUCAGAAAGACGGUCCCGCUCAGCAUGUCUGAUGCUAUGUUCCUCCUGAUGCUGUGCAAGCAUUCAUGACAAUAGGCCUGGAACACUAUUGUCCGGCACUUAUGGACCGACUGAAUGCCAAAGCACAUGAAGGACUGCAUUCAUCAUGAAUCUGGAGCAUGAUUGAGUCUCCAGGGAUCCUGAAAUCACUUCAUCCAGCAGUGUAGCGUAUUGGUGUGAAAGGAAAACUGCAGACUUCUCCAAGGAAAAUGCUAAACACUGCUCUGAGUGAUGAGGAGAAGGGCAUUCAAGACAAGGAAAGCAAGGAAGAGUCCAUUCUGGCCAUGCUGGGAAUCAUUGGGACCAUCCUCAACCUCGUCGUCAUCAUCUUCGUCUACAUCUACACCACCCUGUGAGAUCCACCGGAGUCCACCGGGACUAUGAUUGGGAGUGAGAUUCUGGCACGGAAAAACCAGGCCGUUCCACCAGGGGAUCAUGGGAAUACAGACACUGCUGCGAUGGAGUCGCACAUCUGAAAGAACAGCUUCCCUUCAAACACAGACUACAUAAGGAACUACGUUAGCUGUAAAUAUGCACGUUUUUUCCGUUUCCGGCAGGCGGCCGUCCCGGAUUCAGAGACACAGGAGCGUUUCUAUGCAUGGCUCAGUCCACAGGACGCUCACAUUCAGACCCAUCGGCGGAUUUUAAUAGUAAACAUGCUGUGACGUUUCUUACAAACUCCUGCAGGCGAAAGUUUCAGGUUUAUACUAUAUUUAAAACACUGCUGUUUACAAUAAAUUGCUUAUUAUUAGACCUGCGCUUGGAAAUAGAUCUUGAAUUUUGUCAUGAGCAUUUUAAUACAUACAUUACACAUGUACAGAAUUCAGUAGUUUGGCUAUAAAACGUCAUUUGGCUAGUUUUGCAGUGCAUUUAAUUGAAUUAAUUAACUAUUUAGUUAUGUUUGUGCGAUGCUUAUUUGCAGAUCUUGUUGGUUUGCAGUUUUAGGACAUGGG